UGGGGAAUAUUGCACAAUGGAGGGAACUCUGAUGCAGCGACGCCGCGUGAACGAAGAAGGCUUUCGAGUCGUAAAGUUCUUUUAUAUGGGAAGAUAAUGACGGUACCAUAAGAAGAAGCCCCGGCUAACUACGUGCCAGCACCCGCGGUAAUACGUAGGGGGCUAGCGUUGUCCGGAAUCACUGGGCGUAAAGGGUUCGCAGGCGGAAAUGCAAGUCAGGUGUAAAAGGCAGUAGCUUAACUACUGUAAGCAUUUGAAACUGCAUAUCUUGAGAAGAGUAGAGGUAAGUGGAAUUUUUAGUGUAGCGGUGAAAUGCGUAGAUAUUAAAAAGAAUACCGGUGGCGAAGGCGACUUACUGGGCUCAUUCUGACGCUGAGGAACGAAAGCGUGGGUAGCAAACAGG
rnacentral:rRNA from 1 species